AGCAAUGGAGAAAAAAUGAGACGAGGAAAAGAGAAUAGGAAAAGAAAGAGGAAAACUCUGGAUAAACCCAGACCGGGCAUACAGCAGUCAUCUUUAUGACAUUUGCUCGCUUACACAGCAUAGCAGGAUAAUGGAGAUGAUAUUGUCCAACAAAUGUCAAAGGUGUCUAUAGGACCUUCGUAAACAGAUAGCAGAACCUCGAUAGUAAACGACCUGGAGAUGGCAGUUGAACAGGUGUUACAACCCAUGAUGCUACUGGAGGAGUGUAGGCUCCAAGCUCGUUCUGUUUGCUUGGGAAUGUCCCCAUGGUAUGCAGAUAUGACGUCGACUGUUACGGUGUUAAAAGGAUCCUGGUGGCGAAUUGGGACGUCCACCACGGUAACGGAACAGAGGAUAUGUUCCUGGACGAUGAGCGGGUGCUCUACACCUCCCUGCACCGCUACGACCAGGGUAACUUUUAUCCUGGUACCGGACACCCUACAACCGUUGGGACUGGAAGUGGAGCUGGUUUCAACCUCAACGUGGGAUGGAAUCAUCCAGAACAACCUGAACGGGUACUGGUACCCAUGAUGCUCUUGGAGGAGACUCGACUGUUAGCUCGUUUACGAACUGUAGGCAGCAGAGAAUGCACCAGGGACGAGGUAUUAUAGCACUUGUUAACUCAUAACUCGACAAGAUUAUCGCCGUGGGAUUUGAUACGACAUCGUCAAAUACUGGAGUCCACAAAGGAGCAUGUACAAUUCUGCAGCAGCUCCUCAAUCGACAGAUCCUCUGGAUGGCCUGCAGACACCGGCCUGAGUACUUGAGCUGAUGCAGGUUGUUGAAGCCCACCGAAGACAAUUUAGUGUGAAGACUAAGACCGAUCUUCAAAGUUUUUAUUAGCCAUUAUCAUAUUGUGUGUAAAUGUCAUGUGAAUUAUUAUCAUUUUCAAAAGCAAAAAAUGUGCACAUCAAUUUAGAAUUAGGACUUUACAGUUUACUUUACAGAUAUGAAAGUAAAAUAACAUCUCAUUAAUCAUGUAAUACUGACGAGCUAUCAAAUAAUCAUCCAACCUAAUUAAUACUGACCCUGUCAGUGAUAAGCUAUCAAGUAAUCAUUCAACCUGAUCAUUAAUACUGAUCGUGUCAGUGACGAAUUAUGAGGAAUUCAUUGGAUCACAUUAAUGAUAUAAUAACUUAAUUACCGUUUUGAGGACGAAGGAGUGUUGUCACGGCUCAUGUUGAGUGUUGUCAGGUCUCAUGUCUCUACGACCUUCGGUUUGAGCGCGGUGAAUUCCGCGCUUCAGUCGCAACCCGCAAACUCCAUGCGGGAACUUCCUGACAUCGUAGAGACUUGAAACCUCGACCAAAGUUAACCUUUUCUUACGGUUUAUUUUGGAGUUCCACACUUUAAGAGCUUCAAACGUACUCCUUCAUGUCUAAAUUGACGAUUUAGAGAUUUUUACCUGUUAAAAUUUGGUAAAAUAUAUGGGCGUGGCAGGAUACAAGGAUACAAGGAUACAAAAGUGAUAAUUACUUUAUUGAGUACACAAUAGUUGUAAUUCUGAAAUAAUUUAAGUUACACAAUUCUAAUUAUUUACAAAUGUGUAGGGAUAAUUUAGAAAUGUUAUAUAAUGCUAGUUUUAGAAAAAUAAAUAAAUCGAGUUUGUAUGGUUCAAUUUUAUUUUAAGGUCCUAUUAUAUAUAGCAUUAUGCACUUGCCAGUAUUUGAGUGGAAAUCUGGGCUCUUAUAAUAGGCUGUAUAUUGUUCGUUCACAGAGAGAAUUGAAUGUAUUGCUCUUGCUGUGGCAGUGAGUGUGGUUGGAUCUAGAGUUUUGUUGGAGAGCAAACAAAUGGCAUGUAAUCGACUUUCCCGGUGAAGUUGGGACUUGGACAUUUUUUGGUUGUUAUUUAGCCUUAUGAACGUCAGAUAAGCUUUGUUCAAAAAUUAUUUGGAUAUGUUUUGGUUUUAUGAACCUCUCUACUGGGGAAUGUCCCCAUGGCAUGUAGAUUUGCAAUCGAACAUUACGGUGUUGACUUUUGCAACUUUAUUCUUAUUAAGAUAACAAUAAUAGUAACAACACGAUAAAUAAUAAAUGUUGUGACCCUCAUUAGUUCAAUAAUUGGUACAAAAAUAAAUUUCAAUUUUUCAAUUUCAAAUAAAUGGAUUUAUAUCUGAGUGUUAAAGUACUACAUUCAAUAAUUGACCACCAUCAUUUGAUUGGUUCAUGCA